GCAUCAUCAUAAUAUUUGCAUACGAGUUUGUGGUCGGCCUUUUCUUUUUUUGAUUCUAUUAAACCUUAUAGCUGAUGUCACGCUGGCUCCGUUCCAAAACUUAGUGAGCUCCCUACAUAGGCAACAUCUACGUUAGUUGAUUUGGAAGCAAACCCCCUUCUCUCGCUUUCUUUUCUGAUUGUGCUUGUUCAGACCUGCUUUACAGAUGAUCAAAUUAUCUCUACAGACUUCAAGCAACCUUAACGGUUUACAAUAAAGUGUUUACUAGUGAGUACCUUUGGUUUUGGCAGAAAUUUGUUUGUUUGGGACUGACCUUUGCAUUCAAACGUAUUGUUAGCAGUAAUCAGCGCAGGGGAAUGAAAGAGAUAUCAACAAGUUGGGAGGGAAGAUAUGAAACCUACAAUAGAAAUAAGAGUGCUGUCCCCACCUGAUCAACUCGGUUACAUAAAAACCAGUGAAGUGUGUGGGAUGUGCUGUGGUUUUCAUUUUCUAAAGACCAUUGUUUUAUCCCACUGAUACAAUCAGCAUCACUUCAGGAACCUCAAGAAUUUGCUUCCUAUGGAAGCAUUUUUAUCUUAUAAAUGUAGGUGCUUAAAGGUAUGCAUGAUAUAAGAACUUGCAUGUAUAGGGUACAAGAAUGCUCAUUUUGUGCAGUGAAGUAAAAAGCUAAAUAAAUGACACCAGCAUAUGGCUCUAAAUCCCUCAGUAACAACACACUAAAUAGAUACACGUAAUGUUUGCGCAAAAAAGCAUGCGGUACAGAAAAACACUCAUAAACAGGUAACCUCAGCAGAGCAGGCUGGGUAAUCAGUGUGUUUGCUCACCUAUUAGGUCUCUCAUCUGAUGUGUGAGGAACCCGGCCAUGCUCUCUCAGGAGAGCCUUUCAUUUAUGACGGGAAAACAGGAGACUUUUUUUUUUACUCUGAGAUGAAGAACAGACAGCUCUGGAAUGACAGCUGUAUGAAGACGUCUAUCAGUGUGUGUUACAUCCUCUUGAUGAAUAACACUCCAGCUGGGCUGCUGUCAAUCAAACCUCUUGUCCUGAAGCCGCCAGCGGUCACUGCGUGCAGGUGCUCAAGCCUCCGGCUAAGAGAACUUAGGUCCUUCAGCAAGAACUGAAUAAACACACAGACAUCUGGUAAAGCCUGGAGCAGACUAGAGACAACUUCGACUAUUAAAGUGCCGUGACUAUUUCCUAAACACAUCCAUGACAUAUAAGAUUUGCUGGUGUGAUCACAUUACCAUCAUAGUCAAUAAAAAUCAUUUAGAUUCAGAUCA
ensembl:lncRNA